rnacentral:rRNA from 1 species
CGGGCCCUACGGGAGGCAGCAGUAGGGAAUAUUGCUCAAUGGGGGAAACCCUGAAGCAGCAACGCCGCGUGGAGGAUGAAGGUUUUAGGAUUGUAAACUCCUUUUGUAAGAGAAGAUUAUGACGGUAUCUUACGAAUAAGCACCGGCUAAUUCCGUGCCAGCAGCCGCGGUAAUACGGAGGGUGCAAGCGUUACUCGGAAUCACUGGGCGUAAAGAGCGCGUAGGCGGGUGG